AUUGAACGCUGGCGGCAGGCUUAACACAUGCAAGUCGAGCGGAGAUGAGGUGCUUGCACCUUAUCUUAGCGGCGGACGGGUGAGUAAUGCUUAGGAAUCUGCCUAUUAGUGGGGGACAACAUUCCGAAAGGAAUGCUAAUACCGCAUACGCCCUACGGGGGAAAGCAGGGGAUCUUCGGACCUUACGCUAAUAGAUGAGCCUAAGUCGGAUUAGCUAGUUGGUGGGGUAAAGGCCUACCAAGGCGACGAUCUGUAGCGGGUCUGAGAGGAUGAUCCGCCACACUGGGACUGAGACACGGCCCAGACUCCUACGGGAGGUAGCAGUGGGGAAUAUUGGACAAUGGGCGGAAGCCUGAUCCAGCCAUGCCGCGUGUGUGAAGAAGGCCUUUUGGUUGUAAAGCACUUUAAGCGAGGAGGAGGCUACCUGGAUUAAUACUCUAGGAUAGUGGACGUUACUCGCAGAAUAAGCACCGGCUAACUCUGUGCCAGCCGCCGCGGUAAAAC
rnacentral:rRNA from 1 species